CCUACGGGCGGCAGCAGUGGGGAAUAUUGGGCAAUGGGCGCAAGCCUGACCCAGCAAUGCCGCGUGAAGGAAGAAGGCUUUCGGGUUGUAAACUUCUUUGACAGGGGGAGAGCAGAAGACGGUACCCUGAAAGCAAGCCACGGCUAACUACGUGCCAGCAGCCGCGGUAAUACGUAGGUGGCAAGCGUUGUCCGGAUUUACUGGGUGUAAAGGGCGUGUAGCCGGGAAGGCAAGUCAGAUGUGAAAUCUGGAGGCUCAACCUCCAAAUUGCAGUUGAAACUGGCAAACUGGAGUGUGUGAGAGGAUAGUGGAAUUCCAGGUGUAGGAGUGAAAUCCGUAGAUAUCUGGAGGAACAUCAGUGGCGAAGGCGACUAUCUGGCACAUAACUGACGCUGAGGAGCGAAAGCGUGGGUAGCAAACAGGAUUAGAUACCCCUGUAGUC
rnacentral:rRNA from 1 species